ensembl:misc_RNA 7SK 7SK RNA
GGAUUUGAGAGCGAUCUGGCUGCGACAUCUGUCACCCAUUGAUGGGCAGGGUUGAUUCGGCUGUUCUGGCUGGCUAGGCGGGUGUCCCCUUCCUCCCUCACCACUCCGUGUGCCUCCCUCCCAAAGCCGCGCGCUCGGUUGAAGAGGACGACCCCCCUGGUAGAGGAGGACCGUCUUCUUGGUCAAGGGUAUACGAGUAGCUGUGCUCCCCUGCUAGAACCUCCAAACAAGCUCUCAAGGGCUGGUCAAUCCGUAUGAGUUUUGUAUGACACGGGAACAUUCAGAAAUGAAAACCCAGAAAAGCAGGGACACCUGCACUUUUUUU